AUGAGAGGUCCCGCCUGCCCAGUGACUAUUAGUUAAACGGCCGCGGUAUUUUGACCGUGCAAAGGUAGCGCAAUCACUUGUCCUUUAAAUGAAGACCUGUAUGAAUGGCAUCACGAGGGCUCAGCUGUCUCCUUUCUCCUGUCAAUGAAAUUGAUCUCCCCGUGCAGAAGCGGGGAUUUCACCAUAAGACGAGAAGACCCUAUGGAGCUUCAGGCACCAGAACAGCCUAUGUAAAUACCCCUGACACAAAAGACAAAACUAAUUAGCCCCUGUUCCAAUGCCUUUGGUUGGGGCGACCGCGGGGAAACAAAAAACCCCCAUGUGGACUAAGAGCAACCCUUUCUCCUACAACCCAGGGCCACAGCCCUAAGUAACAGAACCUCUGACCAAAAAUGAUCCGGCCUAACCGAUCAACGAACCGAGUUACCCUAGGGAUAACAGCGCAAUCCCCUUUUAGAGCCCAUAUCGACAAGGGGGUUUACGACCUCGAUGUUGGAUCAGGACAUCCUAUUGGUGCAACCGCUAUUAAGGGUUCGUUUGUUCAACGAUU
rnacentral:rRNA from 1 species